rnacentral:rRNA from 1 species
GUCUACAUCUGUGCUACCCUGAAUGUACCCAAUCUCAUCUGAUAUCAGAAGCUAAGCAGGGUGGGGCCUGGUUAGUACUUGAAUGAGAGAUAAUUCUUUGAUUUAACAUAAUAUUUUAUGAAACUUACUAAGUAGAUA